rnacentral:rRNA from 1 species
GUUAUUAAAAACAUGGCCUAUUGAUAAUAAUUUUAGGUCUGACCUGCCCAAUGAUGUUUUGAGUUAAAUGGCCGCGGUAUAUUGACCGUGCAAAGGUAGCAUAAUCAUUAGUUUUUUAAUUGAAAGCUUGUAUGAAGGGUUUGAUGAGAAAAUAGCUGUCUCUAUUUAAAUUAAUUAGAAUUUUAUUUUUAAGUAAAAAAGCUUAAAUAUUUAUAGAAGACGAGAAGACCCUAUAGAGUUUUAUAAUUAUUUUUUUUAAUUAAAUUUUAGAAUUUUCUAAAUUAUAAAAAUAAUUAUUUUAUUGGGGUGAUAGAAAAAUUGAUUAAACUUUUUUUUUUAUUUUUACAUUGAUUUAUGAAUAUUUGAUCCUUUAUUAAAGAUUAUAAGACAAAAUUACCUUAGGGAUAACAGCGUAAUUUUUCUUUAGAGUUCUAAUCAAAAGAAAAGAUUGCGACCUCGAUGUUGGAUUAAAAGGAAUUAUUGGUGUAGAAGCUAAUAAAUUAGGUCUGUUCGACCUUUAAAAUUUUACAUGAUCUGAGUUUAAACCGGUGUAAGCCAGGUCGGUUUCUAUC